rnacentral:rRNA from 1 species
GACGAACGCUGGCGGCGUGCCUAAUACAUGCAAGUCGAACGCAGUGGGGACGGGUGAGUAACACGUGGGUAACCUCCCAUCAGAGGGGAUAACACUUGGAAACAGGUGCUAAACCGAUAGUGAUGGAUGGACCCGCGGAUCAUUAGCUAGUUGGUGAGGUAACGGCGCACCAAGGCCACGAUGCAUAGCCGGCCUGAGAGGGUGAUCGGCCCCACGGGGACUGAGACACGGCCCAGACUCCAACGGGAGGCAGCAGUAGGGAAUCUUCGGCAAUGGACUAAAGUCUGACCGAGCAACGCCGCGUGAGUGAAGUAGGUUUUCGGAUCGUAAAGCUCUGUUGUUAGAGAGGCGGUAUCUAACCAGAAAGCCACGGCUAACUACGUGCCAGCAGCCGCGGUAAUUC